rnacentral:rRNA from 1 species
GACAGAGGUUGCAAACGUUGUUCGGAAUUACUGGGCAUAAAGCGCACGUAGGCGGUUCGUUAAGUCAUGUGUGAAAUCCCUCGGCUCGACCGAGGAAUUGCGCCUGAUACUGGCGGGCUAGAGAUCGAUAGGGGUGAGUGGAACUCCAGGUGGAGCGGUGAAAUGCGUAGAUAUCUGGAGGAACACCGGUGGCGAAAGCGGCUCACUGGAUCGAUACUGACGCUGAGGUGCGAAAGCUAGGGUAGCAAACGGG